UAGCUAGCCCACUAAGUCUUAGCCCAUUAACCAAACCCAACAAUAUUUCAAACUAUAAUAAAACAAUUAAAGCCCAAAACUUUUAGAAAUUCUCUCCCGCUCUCUCUCUCUCUCUCUCUCUCUCUCUCUCUCUCUCUCUCUCUUGCGUCCCUGCACUGCCAACGAACAACAUCACCCAACGACAACAGUCCAGCAGCCGGCGACCACCGUAAUUAGCCACUAUACCACCGUCGUUUGACACAAAAUCUAACCGGAAUCCGAACACAGGUAAGUUUCUUUGUUAUUUUGAUGAUUUUGGUUGAUAUUAUAGGAGAAAAAAGGGUAAUAAAGUUGUUAAAUAGGGUGAUUAUGUUGUUUAUAUAUUUUUAGGGUGAUUACAACUUACGUUAUGAUUUCUAGGGCUUGAAUAGUU
rnacentral:lncRNA from 1 species